GUGGGGGUAGUACAGAGACAAUUGCAUGGAAGCCUUUGCCUAACAUAUGCCUGUACUAUAUUCAGCAAUGCUGUGAAUUUAAAGAUACACAUGGGAAAAAGAAAUGGACUGUAUAUACUGUGCCGAGAGCCAUGUGCUAAGUGCCAAGAUAUUUAGGGCCAUAUUCUCAACUGGGAUAAAUCAACAUGGAUCACUGAAGUCAACAGAGAGGAGGAGGAAGGGUCCUCAUGGAUUCCAGCUGAAGAUUUCUACAGGCAAGUGCAGGGAAGAUGUUGCUUUUGACUCAAG